UCGAACCCUGCAAAGCAGAGACGACCCGCGAACUUGUACCCAUAAUCUGGAGUCAGCGAUAUUGGCUAUUGGCCUUUGUCCCUGGCACCCUGUCGGCAUAUGUUUGUGGUGCACCGUUUGGGAUGCCACGGAUGUUAUGUCGGCGCUAUAACAAACCCCGGCACGAAUGUGCAAGGAAAACCAAAAACUGAGAAGGACGCGUCUAAUAUUGCCCCGUUCGCGUGUGCCUGUUGCGUGGCCUCCUUGAAAUCA
rnacentral:misc_RNA from 1 species